UACGUUUCCUCUCUAUGUACUAUACUUCACUCAUAUUCUAUUUUUGAUUGGGAACUGUUCUUCAAAGUGUAGAGAGAAGAAAAAAGGGGGUUGCUUAUGGGAGUCGUCGAUCACAACUUCCUUAAUCUGCUGGAUUGCUCGGACAACUGCACCCUAACUAUGUGUAGAGAGAAGAAAAAAAAUAGGAAAUGCAUAUGGGAGUCAUCAAUCACAACUUCCUCAAUCUACUGGAUUGCUCAAACAAUUGCUCCCUAAAUAUGGUAUGAACAAGUUCUGUGCUUUUUGAUAGCUUAUAUUCGAUUAGGAGGGGAAAUAAUAUUUUAAAAAUAUUUUUCAUGGAUUUUUGAUAUUGAAUUAUAAUUGUCACUUAUAUUGCUAGAUAUUAUAAAUUCGAAAAUCAUUUUUGGUUUUUCAUUGACUGAUAACUACAUCUAAACAUUUGUAAUAGUUCCAAUUGUAGAUUGAUGAGAUUUUGAAGAAA